GCUGCAGCAUUUGACUUCAAUUUUAAGCUGGAUAACGCCAAAGCUUUUCCUCAAAUUCGCCACUGGAGUAAGCUCAUAGAUGCUCUGAUUUUGUUUAUCGUUGCUCCUCCUUAAUAUCUCUUGCACAGGUGCCGUUGACCUUUAGAUGGGCUGUACAGUGUGGGGUUUGGUGCCAGGGAUCUGCUUCUUCGGGGACCAGGAUCUUGAGAUCUUCAGGCUGGGUUUCCAUGGAGGCAUGGAGCUGCUUUUCCUCCUUCAUAACUGUACUCAAAACAGCCCUGUUGCUCUAGAAUGGAGACUUGGGCAACUCCUACUGGCACAGAUUUGUUCACCUCAGGGGAAAUUCAGAUAGAAGCAAGCUGCAGUCAGUUUCACCUGUAAGUCCGUGGGUUCUCAACUGGUAAUGUCCUCUUAUGGAUGUUAGCCCACGAGGUCAAUCCUGUAGCAAUCUAAGGCUUGAGAAGAAUUAAUCUUCUGGAAAAUUCCAAGAAUACAUCUUAGGGAAACUGGCUCUACUUUUAUGACUUGGAUAACACAAGGAUAUGCUUUUCAUGUUGGACUAGAACUCAGAGUAUUGGCCAACGGAUGUGUUUUCUAAAACUAUCCCAGUGAGUUCACCAUACAGAUGAAGAUUCUGAGAUUCAAGACUCAAGACUGAAGAAGAUCAUUAUUUUUAUUAUUUUAGUCUGAUGCGCAAAAUGGUAUCUACUGAAUAGGCAGGUUUUUAAUAGGUAGCUUAUAUAUAUUAGCAAAAAUAAACACUUUGUCUUUUAGAUCUAUUCCAGUUUUUCAGUAGCUGUAGACUUAAGUGCUAACUUUUAGCCCAUAGGAUAAGAAGAAACCAAGUCCUAAAAGUAGGCCAGCAUCAGGAUUCAGGCCUCUGACUUCAAGCCAAGGGUUCAUCAUCUUCUAUCAUGCACGAAUUUUUACAUAGCGCCAGAAGAAACUGCCUGUACUUACUGUUGUAGAGCCACUUUGUAUGAAUGCUGUGCACUUCCUGCUGUACCUUCAUCACAUCAGGAAGCAACAAUGUCUGGCCUUCUCGCUUUUAAUGUUGUUAAGAUUGUUCAGUCCUGGAGCAGACACAGCCUUGUUUGCAGAGAGCCAACAUUCUAAUUGACGGUGCAUGGUGGGAAACAGUGAAUGGAGGGAAAGAGUGCCAAUGUCAGAGAGCUACAGUGCAGUGAAGAAGAGAAGGCAAGAGGAUGUGAUGCAAAAUCACAGGACUUGGCUUCCAGACCAUUCUGCUUCCAUGAGAACAUUUUAGUUGAGAACCGGAUGGCAUGAAAAAAAGCAAUACAGUGGAAAGAGGAUGGGAUCUGGUGCCUCUCAGACAGGAUUCCACUUGCAAGCCGUGUGACAUGGGGCAGCCCACCCGAUCCUGGACCUCCACAAAUCCCUCUGCGACGUGGAGACAAUCAGAUUUCCCCACAGAGACUCCAUGAAGGGCCCCUGAGCGCACUCUCCGGUUAGCCACUGAUGCAUUCACGAGGAAGAGGAAGAGUUAAAUGCUUCUUUUGAGGAAGCGGUGGUGGCCAAGUGCUGUGGGCACUGUGAGAUCAGAGCUGACAGCCCAGAAUGUGAAUCGCAGGCCUCACCAGGGCCAUCGUGUGUUGCAGGGAGCUCUUCCCAAGUGCUCACUUUUACUAAAUUACAAAAAAUACAUAACAGGAGAGUUUCUUUGUGUUUUAAAAAUCAAUGACCAAUUUUUGUUUUGUUUUGUUUUUAAAAUACAGUGUUUUCAGAGAUAAGAGUAUUAUAUUGGAAAGCUGUUGUGACACAGAAAAUUACAUGAGCUUGUAGUUGAUUAAAACAGUCAAGUUGACCUACAUAUCAUCUCAGUGCACAGCAAGGAAGCAUCUUCAGCUUAGAAAAUUGCUGGCAUGAACACAAACAAAUCUAGUUCUUUGAAACGAGAAUUUUCAGAUUUUGGAUUUGUGGUGAGAAAUAGCUAAGUCCCAGGGCCGGGCACGGUGGCUCGUGCUUGUAAUCCCAGCACUUUGGGAUGCCAAGGCGGGUGGAUCACCUGAGAUCAGGAGUUCGAGACCAGCCUGGCCAACAUGGUGAAACCCUGUCUGUACUAAAAAUACAAACAUUAGCUGGGCGUGGUGGCGAGCACCUGUAAUCCCAGCUACUCGGGAGGCUGAGGCAGAAGAAUUGACUGAACCCGGGAGGUGGAAGUUGCAGUGAGCUGAGAUCAUACCAUUGUACUCCAGCCUGGGCAAGAAGAGCGAAACUCCUUCUCAAAAAAAAAAAAAAAAAAAAAAAAAAGAAAAAAAG
rnacentral:lncRNA from 1 species